AACUUUUGACAAUGGGGGAAACCCUGAUCCAGCCAUCCCGCGCGUAUGAUGAAGGCCCCCGGGUUGUAAAGUACUUUUGGCAGAGAAGAAAAGGUAUCCCCUAAUACGGGAUACUGCUGACGGUAUCUGCAGAAUAAGCACCGGCUAACUACGCGCCAGCAGCCGCGGUAAUACGUAGGGGGCAAGCGUUAAGCGGAAUUACGGGGCGUAAAGGGUGUGUAGGCGGUUCGGAAAGAAAGAUGUGAAAUGUCGGGGCUCAACCUUGGAACUGCGUUGUGAACUGGGGGGCUAGAGUGUGUCAGAGGGGGGUAGAAUUCGCCGUGUAGCAGUGAAAUGCGUAGAUAUGUGGAGGAAUACCGAUGGCGAAGGCAGCCCCCUGGGAUAGUACUGACGCUCAGACACGAAAGCGUGGGGAGCAAACAGG
rnacentral:rRNA from 1 species